UCCUGCAGGGGGAGGCGGAAGACACUUGCACCUGCGAGAUGAAACUAACUAAAGCUUUCGCGGAGUUUCAGCUGGGCUGGCCUCACAUGCAUUACGUCUUUGCUGUGCUCUGUCUUUUUGUCGUGGUGUAUAAAUUAACAAUUCUACUUGCGAAAAGAAGGGAAACACUGCGAAACUUCCAAGCUUUUUGGGGGCCGCCGCCACACUGGCUGUUUGGACAUGUUCUCGAGUUUAAACAAGAUGGGACAGAUAUGGACAAGGUAGUGAAAUGGGGACAGGAGUACUCAUAUGUUUUCCCAAUCUGGUUUGGCCCCUUUCUCAGUAUCAUCAAUAUUCAGCAUCCAGAUUAUGCAAAAACUAUCCUGACAUCAUCAGAGCCAAAAGAUGAUUUUGCCUACCGGUUCAUUGAGGGUUGGAUUGGAAAUGGGUUGUUGGUGUCAGAAGGUCAGAAGUGGUUCCGUCACAGAAGGCUCUUAACGCCAGGUUUCCAUUAUGAUGUUUUGAAACCAUACCUAAAAUUGAUGUCAGAGUCUGCUCAGAUGAUGCUGGAUAAGUGGGAAAGUUAUGCAAGCACAAAUGAGCCUUUUGAAUUGUUUAAACACGUGAGCCUCAUGACACUGGACAGCAUUAUGAAGUGUGCCUUCAGCUGCUACAGCAACUGUCAGACAGAGGGUGGAACAAAUGCAUACAUCAAAGCAGUGUAUGACCUCAGUUUUCUAAUUGACCUUCGGCUCAGAAUGUUUCCGUACCACAGCGACCUCAUUUUCCACCUUAGCCCACAUGGAUUCAGAUAUAGAAAAGCACGUCAGGUGGCCCUCAGUCAUACAGAGGAAGUUAUAAGAAAGAGGCGAGAAGCACUAAGAGAAGAGAAGAAGCUUGGACAAAUACAGGCAAAGAGAUAUUUGGACUUUCUGGACAUCCUUCUCUUUGCAAGAGAUGAGAACCAGCAGGGUCUGUCAGAUGAAGAUAUGCGGGCAGAAGUGGACACCUUCAUGUUUGAGGGCCAUGACACCACAGCCUGUGGCCUGUCUUUCAUCCUCUACUGUCUGGCCUGCAACCCAGAACAUCAGAAGAUUUGCAGGAAGGAGAUAAUGGAGGCCCUGCAUGACAAGGAAACCAUGGAGUGGGAGGAUCUCAGUAAAAUCCCAUACACUACCAUGUGCAUAAAAGAAGCUCUCCGCCUUUACCCCCCUGUACCAGGAAUUGCCAGAAAAACCACCAAAACUGUAACCUUUUGUGAUGGGAGAACUGUGCCUGCAGGUUCUGUUGUUGGAAUAAGUGUGUAUGGAAUUCACAGGAAUGCAUCUGUCUGGGAAAACCCUAAUGUCUUCGACCCUCUGCGUUUCCUACCAGAGAACAUUGCCAAGAGAUCCCCUCAUGCUUUUGUGCCCUUCUCAGCUGGGCCAAGAAACUGCAUUGGUCAGAACUUUGCUAUGAAUGAGAUGAAAGUGGUGACAGCUCUGACACUGAAGCGAUACCAGCUCAUAGCGGAGCCCACUAUGAAACCCAAGAUCAUCCCCCGACUGGUUCUCCGCUCACUCAAUGGCAUCCACAUCAAGAUCAAACCUUUAGACGCAGAGAGCUAAAGUGCACUAACUGCAAGAACUGCUCAAAAUUACUGUAUUUAGAAAGUAAAUAAUUUACGUUGAUUUGAAAUACUUCUACUAUGUAACUGAGCUUUUACAUAUAUAUUCAUGGACUAUGUUUUGGGAGAAAUUGAGAAUAUGUGUCACAAUACAUCGUAUAUAAUAUCCCCGUUUUUUUUUUGUUUGUUUGUUUGUUUGUUUUUUACAAAAAUAACAGAGAUUACAAAUACAAAAAUAUGUCCUCAUUCAAAAAUGUCUUGUGACACCUGCAUUGGCUUAUGGAAUGAUGAUGUCACAAUGAAAGUAACAUCAUCACAGUGAAAAUGUAAGCAGUAAAAGUAAAAAGCUGUUGAAAAAAUGACUACUCAAGUAAAGUACAGAUACUUGAAAAUUCUACUUAAGCACAGUAAUGAAGUAUUUCUGCAUCGUUACUUCCCAUCUCUGCCUAGUGGUGGCUCAGGUUCGCAGUAUCAGUUUCUCAAUGACAAGAUCUCCACUCAGAUUAAAGA